rnacentral:rRNA from 1 species
GUUGUAUGGUUAAGUGACUAAGCGUACACGGUGGAUGCCUUGGCAGUCAGAGGCGAUGAAAGACGUAGUAACUUGCGAUAAGCCCAGAUUAGGUAGUAACAACCAUUUGAGUCUGGGAUUUCUGAAUGGGGAAACCCACGUGCAUAAGCACGUAUCCUUACCUGAAUACAUAGGGUAAGGAGGCGAACCGGGGGAACUGAAACAUCUAAGUACCCCGAGGAAAAGAAAUCAACCGAGAUUCCGAAAGUAGCGGCGAGCGAAAUUGGACUAGCCCUUAAGCUUUACACGCGUUAGACGAACGGUCUGGAAAGUCCGACGAUACAGGGUGAUAGUCCCGUAGUUGACGACGUGUGUUCAGUGAAAUCGAGUAGGGCGGGACACGUGAUAUCCUGUCUGAAUAUGGGGGGACCAUCCUCCAAGGCUAAAUACUACUGACUGACCGAUAGUGAACCAGUACCGUGAGGGAAAGGCGAAAAGAACCCCUGUGAGGGGAGUGAAAUAGAACCUGAAACCGUGUACGUACAAGCAGUAGGAGCACCUUCGUGGUGUGACUGCGUACCUUUUGUAUAAUGGGUCAGCGACUUAUAUUCAGUGGCAAGGUUAACCAUCUAGGGGAGCCGUAGGGAAACCGAGUCUUAACUGGGCGUUCAGUCUCUGGAUAUAGACCCGAAACCAGGUGAUCUAGCCAUGGGCAGGUUGAAGGUUGAGUAACAUCAACUGGAGGACCGAACCGACUAAUGUUGAAAAAUUAGCGGAUGACUUGUGGCUAGGGGUGAAAGGCCAAUCAAACCUGGAGAUAGCUGGUUCUCCCCGAAAGCUAUUUAGGUAGCGCCUCGGACGAAUACUACUGGGGGUAGAGCACUGUUAAGGCUAGGGGGUCAUCCCGACUUACCAACCCUUUGCAAACUCCGAAUACCAGUAAGUACUAUCCGGGAGACACACGGCGGGUGCUAACGUCCGUCGUGGAGAGGGAAACAACCCAGACCGCCAGCUAAGGUCCCAAAUUACUACUAAGUGGGAAACGAUGUGGGAAGGCUCAGACAGCCAGGAUGUUGGCUUAGAAGCAGCCAUCAUUUAAAGAAAGCGUAAUAGCUCACUGGUCGAGUCGGCCUGCGCGGAAGAUGUAACGGGGCUAAGUAGUAAACCGAAGCUGCGGCAAUAUACUUUUGUAUAUUGGGUAGGGGAGCGUUCUGUAAGCGGUUGAAGGUGUGUGGUAACGCAUGCUGGACGUAUCAGAAGUGCGAAUGCUGACAUGAGUAACGAUAAAGGGGGUGAAAAACCUCCUCGCCGGAAGACCAAGGGUUCCUGUCCAACGUUAAUCGGGGCAGGGUAAGUCGACCCCUAAGGCGAGGCCGAAAGGCGUAGUCGAUGGGAAACGGGUUAAUAUUCCCGUACUUCUUACAAUUGCGAUGGGGGGACGGAGAAGGCUAGGUGGGCCUGGCGACGGUUGUCCAGGUUCAAGUGCGUAGGCUUAAGAGUUAGGUAAAUCCGGCUCUUUCUAAGGCUGAGACACGACGUCGAGCACCUACGGGUGUGAAGUCAUUGAUGCCAUGCUUCCAGGAAAAGCCUCUAAGCUUCAGAUUGUAAGGAAUCGUACCCCAAACCGACACAGGUGGUCGGGUAGAGAAUACCAAGGCGCUUGAGAGAACUCGGGUGAAGGAACUAGGCAAAAUGGUACCGUAACUUCGGGAGAAGGUACGCUCUCGACGGUGAAGUCCCUCGCGGAUGGAGCUAUUGAGAGUCGCAGAUACCAGGUGGCUGCAACUGUUUAUUAAAAACACAGCACUGUGCAAAAUCGUAAGAUGACGUAUACGGUGUGACGCCUGCCCGGUGCCGGAAGGUUAAUUGAUGGGGUUAGACUUCGGUCGAAGCUCUUGAUCGAAGCCCCGGUAAACGGCGGCCGUAACUAUAACGGUCCUAAGGUAGCGAAAUUCCUUGUCGGGUAAGUUCCGACCUGCACGAAUGGCGUAAUGAUGGCCACGCUGUCUCCACCCGAGACUCAGUGAAAUUGAAAUCGCUGUGAAGAUGCAGUGUACCCGCGGCUAGACGGAAAGACCCCGUGAACCUUUACUACAGCUUGGCACUGAACAUUGACCCUACAUGUGUAGGAUAGGUGGGAGGCUUUGAAGCACGUACGCCAGUAUGUGUGGAGCCGUCCUUGAAAUACCACCCUUGUAGUGUUGAUGUUCUAACGUCGACCCCUAAUCGGGGUUGCGGACAGUGCCUGGUGGGUAGUUUGACUGGGGCGGUCUCCUCCCAAAGAGUAACGGAGGAGCACGAAGGUGGGCUAAUCACGGUUGGACAUCGUGAGGUUAGUGCAAUGGCAUAAGCCCGCUUGACUGCGAGAAUGACAAUUCGAGCAGGUGCGAAAGCAGGUCAUAGUGAUCCGGUGGUUCUGAAUGGAAGGGCCAUCGCUCAACGGAUAAAAGGUACUCCGGGGAUAACAGGCUGAUACCGCCCAAGAGUUCAUAUCGACGGCGGUGUUUGGCACCUCGAUGUCGGCUCAUCACAUCCUGGGGCUGAAGUCGGUCCCAAGGGUAUGGCUGUUCGCCAUUUAAAGUGGUACGCGAGCUGGGUUUAGAACGUCGUGAGACAGUUCGGUCCCUAUCUGCCGUGGGCGUUGGAAGAUUGAAGGGGGCUGCUCCUAGUACGAGAGGACCGGAGUGGACGAACCUCUGGUGUUCGGGUUGUGUCGCCAGACGCAUUGCCCGGUAGCUAAGUUCGGAAUCGAUAACCGCUGAAAGCAUCUAAGCGGGAAGCGAGCCCUGAGAUGAGUCUUCCCUGAUACUUUAAGUAUCCUAAAGGGUUGUCGGAGACUACGACGUUGAUAGGUCAGGUGUGUAAGUGCUGUGAGGCAUUGAGCUAACUGAUACUAAUUGCCCGUGAGGCUUAACCAUACAACACCCAAGGGGUUU